ensembl:lncRNA
CCCGAGACCUACGCCAAGCUGCAUGCCACAUUCCCGGCUCCUGCAGUGGACAUGGAUAGGGUCCUUAUAAACCAAAGGGGGUCACCAGAGUACAAAAACCAACAACACACAGGAGUGAACUCCAAUCCCAGCCUGCCCCCCCCCCCCCCCCCUCUCCAAAAAAAAAAAACUUAAACCCAAACAAAGAGAAAGCAAGACUGGUUUGGAUUGCUUGGUCUGAAAAGACAUUUCCUUUUCUUGUCGUGACGUUGCGAAAGCGUUGAGCGGCUGACUGACUGUGAGGACUGACGCGGUGCGUUCAGAUGUGCAUUUGAGCUUUUUGGUUCGUUUGGGUUUUUUCACCCCAUCGUUUGAUCGUAUGUCAAAGUUUUUGUUUUCCUUCCAUAUUUGUUUGCUCUCUCUGGCCAGGGAGGUGGAAGCCACCCGCACGCUUUUUCGGUGUCCUCUUUAAGGGCACCCUGGCUACCACCCUGGCUACCACCCUGCUACACUCUCUCCUCCUUACAUUCCCCUCAGUCCUGUCACCCCCGAUACAUCUCCUCCAGCACGUUCAGUUCUCAGAUCCCACAGCCACCAUUACCCAACAGCACCACCCCCACCCCACUCCCCUUCUUCUUUCCUCCCUGGAGUCCCUCCAUUCCUGAACUCUGUCCAGAGGCAGUGGGGGAAGCUUUGCCUAGCGGAGGUUGCACUUGCGUUGGUAGCGUUUUUUUUGUUUUGUUUUUGUGUUUGUUUGUUUGCUUUUUUUCUUUUACGUUCAGGGAUUACCAUUGUACAGGACUCCAGAGAUCCCGCUCGACCCUGGUGAUGGAACAAUGGACCGAUUCCAGCAGUGAAUAAUAGCAAACGGCGAUUACGAGGAGGAGGGCUGUGUUUGAGGGGGGCUAACGGCGCUGCCCUCAGCAGACCCGGACGCUGCCAUGGAGGGCGCCUACAGCCAACGAGAGGCUGGUGGAAAUGCAUAACUGUGCUCAUCCACCCACCACUCCCCCUUGUGGCCGAUGAGGGUACUGCACACCGCAGCUCUCUGUGCCAACCCAUCUCGUCACUCUUCCACUGCGUCGCCUCUCAGAUCAUCACCACCACCAUUUGUCAAGUUGCCUAUUUUUUCGCAAUAAAUAAAUGAGUAUAAAGUAGAUGGUGAAAAAAUAUUUUUAAAAAGCGAUAUUUAAAUCAUUUAAAGAGUAAAAAAAAAAAUAAACAAAGAAUUUCUCUGGUGUUGUGACAGUGACUGAAUUGUGUUCUUGUCUGUUAGAGAUGUUUUUAUUUCUUUUGUAAUUAUUAUUAUUAUUAUCAUUAUUAUUAGUACUAUUAUUAUUAGUUAUUUUUCACUUGGUUGUCACCUCGGCCCCCUCUCAUACAUGAACAGUGCUGCUCUGUUUGGACUUGUGUGAUGGUGAUGAAAUUGAUCAAACAUUUUUGCAAUAAUAGUAAUGAUGAUGAAUUUUUUGCACCAAAAGCUCUUGAUCUCACUCAUUCAGCCAUGCUGACUGUUCUUCCUGACAUCUGACAGAAUUGCGUCUCUUCUUGUCUGUGUUUUUCAUUGACAGAUUUAAUAAAAUUGUAAAUUAA